UACAGAGGUCCCAAGCGUUGUUCGGAUUCACUGGGCGUAAAGGGUGCGUAGGUGGUCGGGUAAGUCUGAUGUGAAAUCUCCGAGCUUAACUCGGAAAUGGCAUUGGAUACUAUUCGGCUGGAGGUUUGGAGGGGGGACUGGAAUUCUCGGUGUAGCAGUGAAAUGCGUAGAUAUCGAGAGGAACACCAGUGGCGAAGGCGAGUCCCUGGACAACACCUGACACUGAGGCACGAAAGCUAGGGGAGCAAACAGG
rnacentral:rRNA from 1 species